AAACCCUUCAAAAACAGUGUUUCGAAAUGACAAUUCAACGUAAUACGACUGAAGAGGAACUGAAAGAAGAAACAAAGUGGCUGCUGUCGAUCCAAACAGUCGAGAAACAAAGGCUGAGUGCUGCAACCUGAUACGGUUGGCAGCUGUGUGGACGUUGACUGCUCCAUCAGCACAGGGGAGACAGAAGAGUGGACACCGAGGCCAAGGUGUCAGUGUGUCUGUGUGUGAUGUCCAAAAGGGCAGGAAGCGGACAUGGACACCUGAGACAGCCGGUAUGUUUGGAAUUGCUGGCCAGCGAUCGCACACGGCGGAAUCUGUUAGCAUGAGCCGUGGACUGCACAAGAACUUUCCCACAGUGGGAGGAACUCAACAGUGACACGGCCACAACUGUGCCAACGAGAUGUGCUAACACUUCCUGUUGUGUCCAACAAACGUAACUGACAGCUGUAGAACAAAAAAAAAAA